rnacentral:rRNA from 1 species
AUUGAACGCUAGCGGCAUGCCUUACACAUGCAAGUCGAACGGCAGCGGGGGAGCUUGCUCCCGCCGGCGAGUGGCGAACGGGUGAGUAAUACAUCGGAACGUACCCAGUAGCGGGGGAUAGCCCGGCGAAAGCCGGAUUAAUACCGCAUACGCCCUACGGGGGAAAGGGGGGGAUCGCAAGACCUCUCACUAUUGGAGCGGCCGAUGGCUGAUUAGCUAGUUGGUGGGGUAAAGGCCUACCAAGGCGACGAUCAGUAGCUGGUCUGAGAGGACGACCAGCCACACUGGGACUGAGACACGGCCCAGACUCCUACGGGAGGCAGCAGUGGGGAAUUUUGGACAAUGGGCGAAAGCCUGAUCCAGCAAUGCCGCGUGUGCGAAGAAGGCCUUCGGGUUGUAAAGCACUUUUGUCGGGGAAGAAAUCGUUUGGGUUAAUACCCCGAGCAGUUGACGGUACCUGAAGAAUAAGCACCGGCUAACUACGUGCCAUCCGCCGCCGUAA